GCGGGAAAAUGUUCAUUCAUGAAAUAUUCAUGAAUGAAACGCUGUCUCGCGUAGAUUUCUUUUGAUUUUCUCUUCAGCCAAUGGCCGAUCCGCAAAGUGUUUGUGAUACUUAUUUUCAAAAUGAAGUUUAAAUUCAUCUGAAUUGUCGGUGAACAUUCAUUCCUUUUUUAUUCAAGAUGUAAUCUUUUCAAAAGAGUAGCAACUCAAAAUAUCCAAGAAUCAGAAUAAUUUCGAACACUAGUACUACAUUAUCUUGGAGCAGAAC
rnacentral:lncRNA from 1 species